rnacentral:rRNA from 1 species
AUUGAACGCUGGCGGCAUGCCUUACACAUGCAAGUCGAACGGCAGCACGGGAGCAAUCCUGGUGGCGAGUGGCGAACGGGUGAGUAAAGUAUCGGAACGUGCCCAGUCGUGGGGGAUAACGUAGCGAAAGCUACGCUAAUACCGCAUACGAUCUAUGGAUGAAAGCGGGGGAUCGCAAGACCUCGCGCGAUUGGAGCGGCCGAUAUCAGAUUAGGUAGUUGGUGGGGUAAAGGCCUACCAAGCCGACGAUCUGUAGCUGGUCUGAGAGGACGACCAGCCACACUGGGACUGAGACACGGCCCAGACUCCUACGGGAGGCAGCAGUGGGGAAUUUUGGACAAUGGGCGCAAGCCUGAUCCAGCAAUGCCGCGUGCAGGAUGAAGGCCUUCGGGUUGUAAACUGCUUUUGUACGGAGCGAAACGGCUUCCACUAAUACUGGGGGCUAAUGACGGUAGCGUAAGAAUAAGCACCGGCUAACUACGUGCCAGCCGCCGCGGUAA